CAUGCAAGUCGAACGAACUCUGGUAUUGAUUGGUGCUUGCAUCAUGAUUUAUUACAUUUGAGUGAGUGGCGAACUGGUGAGUAACACGUGGGAAACCUGCCCAGAAGCGGGGGAUAACACCUGGAAACAGAUGCUAAUACCGCAUAACAACUUGGACCGCAUGGUCCGAGUUUGAAAGAUGGCUUCGGCUAUCACUUUUGGAUGGUCCCGCGGCGUAUUAGCUAGAUGGUGGGGUAACGGCUCACCAUGGCAAUGAUACGUAGCCGACCUGAGAGGGUAAUCGGCCACAUUGGGACUGAGACACGGCCCAAACUCCUACGGGAGGCAGCAGUAGGGAAUCUUCCACAAUGGACGAAAGUCUGAUGGAGCAACGCCGCGUGAGUGAAGAAGGGUUUCGGCUCGUAAAACUCUGUUGUUAAAGAAGAACAUAUCUGAGAGUAACUGUUCAGGUAUUGACGGUAUUUAACCAGAAAGCCACGGCUAACUACGUGCCAGCAGCCGCGGUAAUACGUAGGUGGCAAGCGUUGUCCGGAUUUAUUGGGCGUAAAGCGAGCGCAGGCGGUUUUUUAAGUCUGAUGUGAAAGCCUUCGGCUCAACCGAAGAAGUGCAUCGGAAACUGGGAAACUUGAGUGCAGAAGAGGACAGUGGAACUCCAUGUGUAGCGGUGAAAUGCGUAGAUAUAUGGAAGAACACCAGUGGCGAAGGCGGCUGUCUGGUCUGUAACUGACGCUGAGGCUCGAAAGUAUGGGUAGCAAACAGGAUUAGAUACCCUGGUAGUCCAUACCGUAAACGAUGAAUGCUAAGUGUUGGAGGGUUUCCGCCCUUCAGUGCUGCAGCUAACGCAUUAAGCAUUCCGCCUGGGGAGUACGGCCGCAAGGCUGAAACUCAAAGGAAUUGACGGGGGCCCGCACAAGCGGUGGAGCAUGUGGUUUAAUUCGAAGCUACGCGAAGAACCUUACCAGGUCUUGACAUACUAUGCAAAUCUAAGAGAUUAGACGUUCCCUUCGGGGACAUGGAUACAGGUGGUGCAUGGUUGUCGUCAGCUCGUGUCGUGAGAUGUUGGGUUAAGUCCCGCAACGAGCGCAACCCUUAUUAUCAGUUGCCAGCAUUAAGUUGGGCACUCUGGUGAGACUGCCGGUGACAAACCGGAGGAAGGUGGGGAUGACGUCAAAUCAUCAUGCCCCUUAUGACCUGGGCUACACACGUGCUACAAUGGAUGGUACAACGAGUUGCGAACUCGCGAGAGUAAGCUAAUCUCUUAAAGCCAUUCUCAGUUCGGAUUGUAGGCUGCAACUCGCCUACAUGAAGUCGGAAUCGCUAGUAAUCGCGGAUCAGCAUGCCGCGGUGAAUACGUUCCCGGGCCUUGUACACACCGCCCGUCACACCAUGAGAGUUUGUAACACCCAAAGUCGGUGGGGUAACCUUUUAGGAACCAGCCGCCUAAGGUGGGACAGAUGAUUAGGGUGAAGUG
rnacentral:rRNA from 1 species